UCUGGUGAUGAUGCGCUUUGGGGAAACACCCGUUCCCAUCUCGAACACGACGGUUAAGACUAAAGCGGCCGAAAGUACUAUACUGGUGACGGUAUGGGAGGAUAGGUGGUUGCCAGAU
rnacentral:rRNA from 1 species